rnacentral:misc_RNA from 1 species
GUUGAAGAACGUAGCGAAAUGCGAUAAGUAAUGUGAAUUGCAGAAUUCAGUGAAUCAUCGAAUCUUUGAACGCACCUUGCGCCCUUUGGACAUUCCGAAGGGCAUGCCUGUUUGAGUAUCAUGAACACCUCAACUCUCACGGCUUGUCCGUGAUGAGCUUGGACUUUGGGGGUCUUGCCGGCCUGUGGUCGGCUCCUCUCAAAUGGAUCAGCUUGCCAGUGUUUGGUGGCAUCACAGGUGUGAUAACUAUCUGCGCUUGUGGUUUUCCAUCAGAUAACCUUCAGUGAUAUGGAGGUUCGCUGGAGCUCACAAAUGUCUCUCCUUAGUGAGGACAGCUCUUUGAACGUUUGAUCUCAAAUCAGGUAGGACUACCCGCUGAACUUAAGCAUAUCAAUAAGCGGAGGA